UUUUUACAGUGAUUGGAAUCUAUCUUGGUUACAUACAGCUAAGCAAAAAAAAAAGAUCAAGAAAAUGAAUCCAUAUAACAUUAAAAACGGUGAUGGUUGUAAGAGACUUUGACCCCUCUUCGAGCAUUUAAGUGGUCUCACCUUUGGAUUUUCUCAUGUGGGUCGUCUUUGUACUAUCAUUCAUCCUCCUACACGUGUUGAUAAAAGAAGAGAAGUGGGUAUGUCCCUUAGCACCAAACUUUUAGCUUUACUUUGAAUGCCUGCUUUUGUCAGGUAUACUUCCCCAUGUAUUCAUUUGUCUCUUACUUCAUA